GGGGAGGUGGUCACCAGUCCAAAGGCCGCCUAGGCUGGAAGCCCCAGACUGGGCUCUGAGCUUGGAGGCUGGUCGUCCUUCGCUCCUGUUGCUCCAAGGAGAGCCUGUCUCAAAGCAAGUGACUUGUCAGCUUGACCACGGAAAGGACUGUAAACCGCCCCUCAGUCCUUCACCCGCUUGAUUCUGGGAUGUCAGGAACCAAGAGAUCCAGAAAACGGCCAAUGGAGAACACCACAUGCUGGGGAUAGAAGCCCCGCCCCCAGCCCUCGUAAAACAGAAGCCCAGACUAGCCUUCAGGGGACCAGCUCACCUGCAAGUGCGGUUGUGUGCGGAGGUGAAGGUGGGCGGUGCUCG